GGUGGCUUGCAGUUAGCUACAGCCGAGAGGUGUCCCUUCCGCCACUGCUGUUCGUUUACUGCUACAUCCCAGUCACUGCCUCCUCCUGCUUUUCCUCAUCUUUGUGAGCAGCCGGUUUGCCGUUGUUCUCGCUCGCCUGCCUGGUCUUCUCUAAGGGGUUGUUGCCUUGCCCCUGCUUGUCACCUGAGGUGAAAGAGAAGUGGUGCAGGGAAGCUUUCUAGAGGAAUCGCUCCAACUCUGUGGAGCUGGUCGUGCCGGCCGGUGGGACUCUCUUUUUGUUUGGGACCUGGAGUAGGUUCAAGCAAGAAGACAAGAGGGAGUUGUGAAGAUACGGGUCGCUUUUCUCUGCACCCUUCGUUCUUACUCCCGUUCCUGCAACUCCGGGAACCUGGACAGGCGUUCUUAAAGGGAAACCUAAGGAAAAAAGUUCUGCAGAAAGAAACACAACGUGUGUAAAGUCUUGUGAAUAUCUUCCAGAAAAGAGUGACAAGAAUUUUUAAGGAUUCCAGUGAGGAAUGUCAUGCAAAGAAUGAGCAUCGUCUAUGACAUAAACUUCCAACAAAUCCUAAGCAAAGGUCAAAGCAAAUUUCAGCCUAUGAUUGAAGGAGUAUCUAUGUACCAAUACCUCCUAAUUCCUUCCUGGUAUAAUUUUACUGCUUCUCUGUCUCUAUUUUGCAGACCAUGUUGAGGUGACUCUGAGAGACCAUAAAGGAAAGGGUGUUACAGGCGAACAAACAAAUGCAGAGAUUCAAGCUGUGCAACUCUGGGAAAUACCCAUCUGAAUAAGAGAAUAUGUUUAUCAUGAAAUGGGAUUUGAGAAGAACAUAGAAAAUUCCUGGAAGGAGAAGAGAAGAGGCUGAGACUAGGUAGGAAACGCAGAAACAUAUGGGAGAGGACAGAUGGCUGACAGGAUAAGUUCUACACGCUGAGGAAGGAAAACAAGAAUGAGCUGCAGCCUAAAAUGGAGGGGAAUUAAGUAGUCCCACCAUGGAGAGGGAAAGCCACAGAAGAGCUUCUUCAGAGAUUCCCUUAGUCCUGCCACCAGGAGGAGGCAUUUCAAAAGGAAAAAAACCAACGGCAGGGACCAGUUGGGAGGAGGACACAGAAUAAGCUUUCCUGACUGAAAUCAGCCACUGUUCAGAGCUACCACCUGAGCACCCAGGAAAAGAUAACUCGCUCUCCAGUGGGUUGCAUCCUUACUGGAAGGUAGGUGUGAAUUCACAGCCGUGAUGUUCAAUAUUCCUCUCUCUUGGUUUCUCUCUCUCCCAUCCCUCUCUGAUUCUGUUCUUUGGCCACAGUGUUUGAUGUUUGAGAAGAGAAUGUUGAACAAGUCAAGUCCUUGUCAGUCUGAAUCUGAACUCUCAUUGGACUUGGAAGAUUUAUGCUUUCGUUUCUUCUUCUUUUUCUUUUCUUUCUUCCUCUUCUUGUGCUUCUCUUUUUUCUUCUUUUUCUUGUGUUUCUCUUUGUAUUCUGAGGAACUGGAACUGCUGUCAUCUUCAUCUGAGCUGGAAUCCUCCAGUAACUGUUUUAAUUGCUGUAUCCUAAACAUACAAAAUUAGUCAAAGAACCAUGGUUUUUAACAUGGUUAAAAAGUUAAACCUUUUUUUUUUUUCUAGGUAAAAUAUGAUUUAGAAGCAGGGUUGGAGGAAAAAAAAUCAUAUACAAUCCCUUCAGUAAACACAGUACUUAUUUUUUUAUUUUUUCAUAUUUUCCUCUUUCUUGUACACGUUGCAUGUCUCUUUUAUGUGAUUUUAAUCAGUUUUCAAGCCAUUUUGUACUAUUUUCAUUGUCCUAAAUAUUUCUGCUUAUCCCUACAAGGAUAACUUUUAACAGAUGCCUAAUAUCCAUAAUCAUUCUCUCACUGUUCAAUUUUAUAGUAGACAAUCUAAAUCCUCAAAAACUACACAUCAAUAUAACCAAAUUGAAAAAAAAAAGAA